rnacentral:rRNA from 1 species
GACAGAGGGUGCAAACGUUGCUCGGAAUUACUGGGCGUAAAGCGCGUGUAGGCGGCCCGAUAAGUCCGCUGUGAAAGUCCAGGGCUCAACCCUGGGAUGCCGGUGGAUACUGUCGGGCUCGAGUCCGGAAGAGGCGAGUGGAAUUCCUGGUGUAGCGGUGAAAUGCGCAGAUAUCAGGAAGAACACCAAUGGCGAAGGCAGCUCUCUGGGACGGUACUGACGCUGAGACGCGAAAGCGUGGGGAGCGAACAGG